UUGGAGGGCAAGUCUGGUGCCAGCAGCCGCGGUAAUUCCAGCUCCAAUAGCGUAUAUUAAAGUUGUUGCAGUUAAAAAGCUCGUAGUUGAAUUUUAGGCCUGGCCGGGCGGUCCGUCUUUGGCGAGUACUGUCUGUUGUCGGGUCUUCCUUCUGGUGAACCAGUAUGUCCUUUAUUGGGUGUGUUGGGGAGCCAGGACCAUUACCUUGAAAAAAUUAGAGUGUUUAAAGCGGGCUAUUGCCUGAAUAGAUUAGCAUGGAAUAAUGAAAUAGGACGGCAUGGUUCUAUUUUGUUGGUUUCUAGGAUCACCGUAAUGAUUAAUAGGGAUAGUUGGGGGCAUUAGUAUUCAAUUGUCAGAGGUGAAAUUCUUGGAUUUAUUGAAGACUAACUUCUGCGAAAGCAUUUGCCAAGGAUGUUUUCAUUAAUCAAGAACGAAAGUUAGGGGAUCGAAGACGAUCAGAUACCGUCGUAGUCUUAACCAUAAACUAUGCCGACUAGGGAUCGGAUGAUGUUAAUUUUUUAAUGACUCAUUCGGCGCCUUACGGGAAAC
rnacentral:rRNA from 1 species